rnacentral:rRNA from 1 species
UGGGGAAUAUUGCACAAUGGGCGCAAGCCUGAUGCAGCCAUGCCGCGUGUAUGAAGAAGGCCUUCGGGUUGUAAAGUACUUUCAGCGAGGAGGAAGGUAUUGUGGUUAAUAACCGCAGUGAUUGACGUUACUCGCAGAAGAAGCACCGGCUAACUCCGUG